AUGCAGUUCCAGUACCUUAUGGUUGAGGAAAAGUUAUAUAGAGAUCUAUCCAGAUAUGAUGCCACUGCAAAUGCUCAUGUGCAAAAUUUACUCUGUUUCGCAUUGCACUAUCAUCAUUGUCACUCCAUGAGGUACCAGAGGUUGUCUCUUGUGUAUAGUAUUUCGUUCAAUAGCAAAAUAGUCCGUACAUGUUGGAAUAAAUGCACAGCUCAUACUCCGGUUACUCAUUAGUUGCAUUUUGCACACAGUAUUCGUUGAGGAAAGUGGGGUUUGGAACUCUAGCAGAGCAACUGAAGAAAAGUGGUGUUUCAGCUUUAGUUGUAUUCUACAAGAGUUUGGGUGGGUAAAUUUGGCUUUCCUUUCUUGUCCCUGUGAAGCCCCUUCGAUGCCACGUCUUCCAUUAUCUGCCAGCGCAACCUCGGGCUCCCCUCGUUGCCUGUGUUUUUAGUUUUGCUCCAGGUUGUCCUCUCAAUGCUUCCCUUGGUUGCUCUUAGGCGAGGCCUUCACGCCCCAAGUAUUAUGUGUUCUCUCACUCCAGCCUUUUUGUUUGCUCAAGUAAACUUUGUCUUUCAUUUCCUUGUCGUGCGAGACUUCAUGGCCUUUCAUUCUCCGCUCAUAUUUUUUCCUCCUGUUCCUUAUACAGCCAGGUCUGCAUUUUUCGCUCAUCUUUUGUUCUUUAUUCAACAUUCUUCUGUAAAUUUUCCCCAGUUCUGAAUGUUACUCCAUGGUUAGCUUAACGUUUCUUCACCAUUAUGUAUGAGCAUGCCCAUUAUCCUCUUAAACCUUGCUAAACUACCCACCCACCCAACAUCUUUUAGUGACGGGCGAACCCAGAUCGUUAUAUUUACCUCUUGAUUGUUUCUUCAUCAUUUGUUUCUAUUUCGCUGGUUUAUCUGUUCAUUUUUUUUGUAAAGUGGCUUACCACUGUGACCUGUUUUUAUUACCAGAGUAGCUGAUCUUCCUCUCGACUGAAAUUAUUCCUUUCGUAUAUGUCGGUUUUUAGUUAUAUAUGUAUAGUUGUGUUUAAACAUAAAGGAAUGACAAGAAGCUAUAUAUUUUCCUUGGUUGUAGUCAUUAUUCUACAUGGUGCAGAAUGCCACCGCUGCUCAGGGUCACGCGAGUCAUUCUGGGGUAUGCACAACAGUGCUGGUCAUCGAUGUGCUAUAUCACAGAUCCUCCUCUUGCAUUUGUUAAACUGGCUCACGGUGUCCAUAGCCUUAUUAAACAUGCAGAAAUUACAUAUUGGAAAUUAAGUAAGGAUCAUGUACUUUUUUAUAUAUCUAUAAUUGAUUGGGUGAACUUGUUUUUCUUUGUCUCUGCUUGUCUGUAUAAUUUGUAAAUAGUAACUUUUGUUAGCAUUUGAGGAAUUCACAUUUAUAUUUUAUACCUGCAUUACUUGCCAAUUGCCAGUGUACAAUAGAUUAGUUCAGAACUUGGGUCAUAUUCAGUUCCAAUUGUAUUUCUCAUUGAUCGAUGGUUUGUUCGCUGCUGCAAGAUCGAACUCAUUGAUCGAUGGAUUUUGUUGCUCAUUUGAUAGUUCUGGACUUCUCAUGUAGUUCGCAUCUACUUCAUACUCAUUUAGUUCAUAUUUGUUUAUUGUAGUACCUCUGCCUCUUGCCAAAUGAUACAAAAUUCAGGCGACGGUUGGAGGACUAGGGAAAGCGGUGCUCAUGAAGGGGACAUCAGCAACGAUGGCCAUGGGGAAAGGGAGAGAGGCCAGUUGGAGACAACGACGACGACGGUGGCCGAAUCGGAGCACAUCACCAUCUCCUUCCUCCUGCAUCUUCCCACGUGAGUUCCUUUUUCCAAUAUCUUCCUCCGAUUUGGUUUCUUUUCUUUUUCCCUAUAAGGUUUGGGGUGUAGCCUGUAGAUUCUAACACCGAUGUGGGAGAGAGGCCACACACCUCCGCUGCACGGCUUCGAGCCCUGGCGUUGACUGUGGAGAUCGAAGGCGAGCCUCCAUCUUCGUUUUUCCACCCGCCAAACUGAGGCGGACCUGCAAGCAUGAGCUGCUUCUGCUGAUUCGAUUAUUCCACAUGCCUGGAAGCUCCACCAUCGGUUGAUCUUCAAGCUCUGUGCGCUGCAGUCCCCUCAUCUGCUCGUCUACGUCUGCUCGAGUUUCUCCAAUCUUGAUUUCUGAUUUGAGCAUGAAGUGUGGAGAUGGAUCCUGGAAGAUUCAUUGGUAAGCACGAAAGCCUGUAGGACCAAAAUAUUGGUUUGUGAUUCCAUUAUGGAAACUUUGGAGAUGGAGGUAUGAAAAGAUUCAUCAUGACAGAUAAUUAUCUUGACACAUUAUUUAGAUAGUACUAUCCUUUUCUUGUCUAUUUUUCCAUUUACACAAAUAAAGGUUUUAAAGAUAGUAGAAUUUUUUGGUAUUUCUGGAGUUACAUAUUCUGCUCCGUUUAUUCUCCGGGACUAAGAUGUAAUAGGAAUUAUUAUACCCUGUUGGUGCUUUGGUCUUAUUAUAUCCACCUACAAAAUAGGAAUUUAAAAAAACAUCACUACUUAAUGGGAAUUACAUGACUUAGAAAGUAUCUUGAUGUGAUAUUAGGUACUUCAGAAUGAACAUUUUCAUAUUUAGUAGAAUAUGGAGGCAUCCUAAUAUUUGUUGUGCCGGUGAUCUGAUCUGCCGGUGUCC